rnacentral:rRNA from 1 species
AACGAACGCUGGCGGCGUGGCUAAGACAUGCAAGUCGAACGGACUGUCCAAUUGAGUAAUCGAGAGGACAGUUAGUGGCGUAAGGGUGAGUAAUGGAUAGGUAACGUACCCUGUGCUUCGGGAUAGCGUCGUUUGUCUUCGGGCAAACUACCGAAAGGGACGGUAAUACCGGAUAAUAUCAUUUGUCGAUGGGCGAAUGAUCAAAGAUUUAUCGGCAUAGGAGCGGCCUAUCUCCUAUCAGCUUGUUGGUGAGGUAACGGCUCACCAAGGCAGCGACGGGUAGCGGGACUGAGAGGUUGUUCCGCCACAUCGGGACUGAGACACUGCCCGGACCUCCACGGAGGGCUGCAGUAACGAAUAUUGCGCAAUGGGCGAAAGCCUGACGCAGCGACGCCGCGUGCGGGAGGAAGUCCCUUGGGAUGUAAACCGCUGUCAGGGGUAAGAAAGUUCACUUCGGUGGAUUGAUCUAACCCAAAGGAAGUCACGGCUAACUUCGUGCCAGCAGCCGCGGUAAGACGAAGGUGGCGAGCGUUGUUCGGUGUUACUGGGCUUAAAGCGUAUGUAGGUGGGAAAGUAAGCGUCGUGUGAACGCCCCCGGCUUAACCGGGGAACUGCUCGACGAACUGCUUUUCUUGAGGCAAGUAGGGGUGCAUGGAACUCUUGGUGGAGCGGUGGAAUGCGUAGAUAUCAAGAGGAACGCCGAUGGAGAAUCAGUGCACUGGGCUUGUUACGGGUUCUCGAAUGCUUCGGCAUUCGGGGGUCCCUCUGACGCUGAGAUACGAAAGCGUGGGGAGCGAACGGGAUUAGAUACCCCGGUGGUCCACGCUGUAAACGAUGUCUACUAGGUUGUGGAAGUUCUGACGCUUUCACGGCCGAAGCUAAAGUGCUAAAUAGACCGCCUGGGGAGUACGGUCGCAAGGCUAAAACUCAAAGGAAUUGACGGGGGCUCACACAAGCGGUGGAGCAUGUGGAUUAAUUCGAAGCAACGCGCAGAACCUUACCUGGGUUUGACAUGCUCGGAUGCUUGCCCGGAAACGGGUUAAGCUGCCCUUCGGGGUGAAACCUGCACAGGUGCUGCAUGGCUGUCGUCAGCUCGUGUCGUGAGAUGUCGGGUUAAGUCCUCUAACGAGCGAAACCCUUGCCGUUAGUUGCCAGCGGGUUAUGCCGGGGACUCUAGCGGGACUGCCGGUGUGAAACCGGAGGAAGGUGGAGACGACGUCAAGUCAUCAUGGCCUUUAUGCCCAGGGCUUCACACGUGCUACAAUGGCGGGUACAAAUCGAAGCAAAGCCGUGAGGCCGAGCAAAUCGCAAAAAAGCCGCCCCAGUUCGGAUUGCAGGCUGACAAUUCGCCUGCAUGAAGUUGGAAUCGCUAGUAAUCGCGUAUCAGCUACGACGCGGUGAAUGUGUUCCUGAGCCUUGUACACACCGCCCGUCAAGUGAUGGGAGUUGGGAGUACCCGAAGUCGGGUUACCAACCUCGAUUUAUCGGGGAGGUGCCUGCCUACGGUAAGCCCGAUGACUGG